CACGUAGGCACCAAGCGUUGUCCGGAUUUAUUGGGCGUAAAGAGCUCGUAGGCGGUUCGGUAAGUCGGGUGUGAAAACUUUGGGCUCAACCCAAAGCCUGCACCCGAUACUGCUGUGACUUGAGUCCGGUAGGGGAGUGGGGGAAUUCCUGGUGUAGCGGUGGAAUGCGCAGAUAUCAGGAGGAACACCCGGUGGCGAAGG
rnacentral:rRNA from 1 species